UACGUAGGGUCCAAGCGUUAAUCGGAAUUACUGGGCGUAAAGCGUGAGUAGGCGGUUUCGCAAGUCCGAUGUGAAAUCCCCGGGCUUAACCUGGGAACUGCGGUGGAAACUACGAGGCUAGAGUGCGGCAGAGGGGGGUGGAAUUCCAGGUGUAGCGGUGAAAUGCGCAGAGAUCUGGAGGAACACCGAUGGCGAAGGCAGCCCCCUGGGCUAGCACUGACGCUCAGACACGAAAGCGUGGGGAGCAAACAGG
rnacentral:rRNA from 1 species